rnacentral:rRNA from 1 species
GACGAACGCUGGCGGCGUGCUUAACACAUGCAAGUCGAACGGAAAGGCCCUGCUUGCGUGGUGUUCUCGUGUGGCAAGGGGGUGUGUAACACGUGUGUAACGUGCCCUUGUCUUUGGUAUAACUUCAGGAAACUGGGGCUAAUCCCGGAUAGGAGCUCCUGCUGCAUGGGGGGGGUUGGAUAGUUUGGGCGGUUGGGGAUGGACUCGCGGCUUAUGAGCUUGUUGGUGGGGUAGUUGCUUACCCAGGCAGGGGCGGAUAGCCGGCCUGAGAGGGUGACCGCCCACAUGGGGACUGAGAUACGCCCCAGUCUCCUACGGGAGACAAGAGGGGGAAAUUUUACACAGUGGGCGGGAGCGUGGUACAGAAGCCCCGCGUGCGGGAAGACGGCUUGCGGGGUAUAAACCGCUUUCGCCUGAGACGGAGCUGUUGUGACGGUAACGAGAAAAGAAGCACCGGCUAACUACGUG